CUUCUGCUCACUCCUUUGGUUUCCCCAAGCAUCUGUUCCUCGCCUCCUUGUCCCGGCUGGUAUUUGUGGCCAUUUGGACAGGGGUCCUGGUCCCUCCCCUGGGUUGGGCUUGGCCCUGAGGACGGCAAGAGAACCCGGGUCAGGUCGGAGCAAGAUGGCGCCUGCCCCGGCAAGAGCGCAGGCAGGAUGGGAGCAGGCAAAGCUUGAACCUUCCUUUAGGAACCAGAGUUAUUUCCCCAGAGGGGGUGCACCGUUCCCGGAGGUACUGCAAUACCGGGUCGAUGCGUGGAGUGGACGGAGCAAGCUCCUAUUCCAUCUCCCUGCUCCAAAAAUACAUUUAAUAUAAUGUCCUCGGAUAGAGGACGUAUCAGAUAUUAAACUGAUAAGAACAGAUACUACACUUGA